rnacentral:rRNA from 1 species
GACGAACGCUGGCGGUGUGCUUCACACAUGCAGGUCGAACGGGGUAGCAAUACCCAGUGGCGGACGGGUGCGUAACACGUGAAGAACUUGUCCAUCGGUGGGGGAUAGCCGGCCCAACGGCCGGGUAAUACCGCGUACGUCGGCGGGAACGCAUGUUCCUGCCGGGAAAGCAGCAAUGCGCCGAUGGAGAGCUUCGCGGCCUAUCAGCUUGUUGGUGGGGUAAUGGCCUACCAAGGCAACGACGGGUAGCUGGUCUGAGAGGAUGAUCAGCCACAUUGGGACUGAGACACGGCCCAGACUCCUACGGGAGGCAGCAGUGGGGAAUAUUGCGCAAUGGCGAAAGCCUGACGCAGCGACGCCGCGUGCGGGAUGAAGGCCUCGGGUCGUAAACCGCUGUCGCCA